GACGAAUGCUGGCGGCGUGCCUAAUACAUGCAAGUUGAGCGAUGAAGAUUGGUGCUUGCACCAAUUUGAAGAGCAGCGAACGGGUGAGUAACGCGUGGGGAAUCUGCCCUUGAGCGGGGGACAACAUUUGGAAACGAAUGCUAAUACCGCAUAACAACUUUAAACAUAAGUUUUAAGUUUGAAAGAUGCAAUUGCAUCACUCAAAGAUGAUCCCGCGUUGUAUUAGCUAGUUGGUGAGGUAAAGGCUCACCAAGGCGAUGAUACAUAGCCGACCUGAGAGGGUGAUCGGCCACAUUGGGACUGAGAAACGGCCCAAACUCCUACGGGAGGCAGCAGUAGGGAAUCUUCGACAAUGGACGAAAGUCUGACCGAGCAACGCCGCGUGAGUGAAGAAGGUUUUCGGAUCGUAAAACUCUGUUGGUAGAGAAGAACGUCGGUGAGAGUGGAAAGCUCAUCAAGUGACGGUAACUACCCAGAAAGGGACGGCUAACUACGUGCCAGCCGCCGCGGUAA
rnacentral:rRNA from 1 species